UAGACCCGAAACCAGGUGAUCUACCCUUGGUCAGGUUGAAGUUCAGGUAACACUGAAUGGAGGACCGAACCGACUUACGUUGAAAAGUGAGCGGAUGAACUGAGGGUAGCGGAGAAAUUCCAAUCGAACCUGGAGAUAGCUGGUUCUCUCCGAAAUAGCUUUAGGGCUAGCCUCAAGUGAUGAUUAUUGGAGGUAGAGCACUGUUUGGACGAGGGGCCCCUCUCGGGUUACCGAAUUCAGACAAACUCCGAAUGCCAAUUAAUUUAACUUGGGAGUCAGAACAUGGGUGAUAAGGUCCGUGUUCGAAAGGGAAACAGCCCAGACCACCAGCUAAGGUCCCAAAAUAUAUGUUAAGUGGAAAAGGAUGUGGCGUUGCCCAGACAACUAGGAUGUUGGCUUAGAAGCAGCCAUCAUUUAAAGAGUGCGUAAUAGCUCACUAGUCGAGUGACACUGCGCCGAAAAUGUACCGGGGCUAAACAUAUUACCGAAGCUGUGGAUUGUCCUUUGGACAAUGGUAGGAGAGCGUUCUAAGGGCGUUGAAGCAUGAUCGUAAGGACAUGUGGAGCGCUUAGAAGUGAGAAUGCCGGUGUGAGUAGCGAAAGACGGGUGAGAAUCCCGUCCACCGAUUGACUAAGGUUUCCAGAGGAAGGCUCGUCCGCUCUGGGUUAGUCGGGUCCUAAGCUGAGGCCGACAGGCGUAGGCGAUGGAUAACAGGUUGAUAUUCCUGUACCACCUAUA
rnacentral:rRNA from 1 species